CUACGGGUGGCUCCAGUGGGGAAUAUUGGACAAUGGGCGAAAGCCUGAUCCAGCAAUGCCGCGUGAGUGAUGAAGGCCUUAGGGUUGUAAAGCUCUUUUACCCGGGAUGAUAAUGACAGUACCGGGAGAAUAAGCUCCGGCUAACUCCGUGCCAGCAGCCGCGGUAAUACGGAGGGAGCUAGCGUUGUUCGGAAUUACUGGGCGUAAAGCGCACGUAGGCGGCUUUGUAAGUUAGAGGUGAAAGCCUGGAGCUCAACUCCAGAAUUGCCUUUAAGACUGCAUCGCUCGAAUCCAGGAGAGGUCAGUGGAAUUCCGAGUGUAGAGGUGAAAUUCGUAGAUAUUCGGAAGAACACCAGUGGCGAAGGCGGCUGACUGGACUGGUAUUGACGCUGAGGUGCGAAAGCGUGGGGAGCAAACAGGAUUAGAUACCCGAGUAGUC
rnacentral:rRNA from 1 species